GAAGCAGGAAGCAGAAAACACUCUCCAUCCAUCCUCAUGCAGCUUGCCUACUGCCAAGUAGACAGUCAAUAAACAAGGAAAUAAUUAGUAGCACGGCUCAUUAGGAAAGGACUUAUCCUAAGAACAACAAAAUCAAGUGGGAAGGGGAAUGAAGGCUCGGAACAGGGGCUUACUUUCCAGCCAGGUGGCUGUGAUAGGAAUGGCAGCUGCCAGGGACAAGGAACAUUCUAAGGCAAUGCAGUCCCUGGUGCAAAGGCCCAUGGGGCAGGACAUACCUGACACACGUGUGGCACGUAAUGUGUGGCUCAUAAAGGCAGAUGUGGAAACAGUCCCUGGUGGUGGAGAGAGGUAUACAAGUCCCCCAGCUAGCGGACACUAGAACUCACGCUGGCCUUGUCCUGAGAGCUCUUCCUGUUGGAAGCAUUGUCAAGGCUCAUCAAGUGCACUGACACUGAGGGAAGGUUUGUCAGGCUGGGAACCCAGGGCACAGUCAAGGAUGUAAGCUGGGACUCUGAGGUCUGCCUCUGAGUUCUGUGUGUCCUGCAGCCACCACAUUCACGUUUCUCCCGGGUGCUAUCCUGCUGGACAUUUUUCUCUUUGAUUUGAUGGCUAUACAAUUAAUCUCAUCUGACAGGUGAGGAGGGGUCUCCCCUGCCACGGUCCCCAAGGAGAGUAAAUAUUGAUUUUGGGAAAUGGGGUGGGGGGAAGAUUCACUUGUGAGUCGAUUCUGAGUCAAACCGCAUCUUGAGUGGCAUUCCGUGAUGAAGGAUGGUACCUUUGUCCUUUUGGCUGGCACACUGAGUGUGAGAGGAGGCGGGGGCUCUCCACAGGCCAUCAGGAAAAACUUAGGAGCGCCACACAGCAUCCUUGAUGAGUGAAUGCUGGGUCUAUCCUGUGAUGAGGUUGUCUGAGCUUCGGGCAGACCCGUUUGAGUAACAGGUGCAGGGUUUGGCUCUGUGAGGACUGUCUGAGAGGCUUCCAUUCAGCUGAGCCCUGUGCCCUGCACUGGAGCACAGGGCGCCUUAUACACCCAGUCUGCUUAGGGAAGAAGCCAUGUGUCUCCAGUACUCACGUGCAUACAAGCUGCCUGUUUCCUGUUCCGGAGGCCAGUCUUCGGCUUCCCUGGAGAGACUAGCGUGUCCUUAUCUGGAUGGCUUGUUUCAGUAGUACCGUCAUGAAAUGGCUCUCGAGGAUACUUGCAUGUCCUGGGGGUGGAGGACAAAGGGACAAGAGGUCAAACACACCUUAGGGUGAAAUGAAGUCACACUGUUAGCAACUCCCAACUGAGGUCCAUACCUAAAGCUGAGAUGCUUGGCUUACAGAACAGAUCCUGAGCCAUUCCACUGGUAAAAAACUCAAGUAUAU
rnacentral:lncRNA from 1 species